rnacentral:rRNA from 1 species
UACAGAGGUCUCAAGCGUUGUUCGGAUUCAUUGGGCGUAAAGGGUGCGUAGGCGGCGCGGUAAGUCGGGUGUGAAAUCUCGGAGCUUAACUCCGAAACUGCAUUCGAUACUGCCGUGCUUGAGGACUGGAGAGGAGACUGGAAUUUACGGUGUAGCGGUGAAAUGCGUAGAUAUUGGGAAGAACACCUGAGGCGAAGGCGGGAUGCUGGGCCGACACUGACGCUGAGGCGCGAAAGCCAGGGGAGCAAACGGG